rnacentral:lncRNA from 1 species
UAGUUGUGUGAGCUACUCCAAUGGGAUUACAGAAUUUUACUAGCCUGCCUAAAAUGUGCUUAAUGAGAAGAAAUAGUCACCUUAGGAUCAAGUGUCCCUACAUUACAGAGAUCAGGAGACUGUUGUUCAUACUGAUGGAAGUUAAUGAGAAAUUUCAGACUGUAGUAACAUCACAGUGUGGGAGGAACUGUUUUGAAAGCUAAUCACGCUGAAUUUCCUGGAGGCAACACCUAAAGAAAGGAAUCUCUAUUUAUACAGUCAUACAGUUAAAAGAGCUUUUAAAAAGAACGUGGGAGUCCUGAAGGGAUAAUUAACUGAGAAAACUUCAGAGCUUUUCCUCAGGCUUUUUAGAAACAUAAUCUAUCUCUUCCAGAAAGCAUGAGUAACGUGCAGUACCUGCUUGCUGAGUGUGACAGUGGUGUUGAUGCUGACCAGGUGAUGUUGACUGU